AAUGAACGUUGGCGGCAUGGAUUAGGCAUGCAAGUCGAGCGAGAAGUGUAGCAAUACACGGAAAGCGGCGGAAGGGAGAGUAAUACGUGGGAAUCUGCCCUUAGACCUGGGAUAGCAGCGGGAAACUGCUGGUAAUACCAGAUAAUGUCUAUGGACCAAAGGUGUGAUUCCGUCUAGGGAUGAGCCCACGUCCUAUUAGCUAGUUGGUAGGGUAAUGGCCUACCAAGGCGAUGAUGGGUAGCGGGUGUGAGAGCAUGACCAGCCUCACUGGGACUGAGACACUGACCAGUCACCUACGGGUGGCUGCAGUCGAAAAUCUUCGGCAAUGGGGGCAAGCCUGACCGAGCGAUGCCGCGUGCGGGAUGAAGGCCUUCGGGUUGUAAACCGCUGUCGAGGGGGAGCAACUUCCAUAGAGUUAUCUUUAUGGAUUGAGUGAUCCCUGGAGGAAGGACGGGCUAAGUUCGUGCCAGCCGCCGCCGUAACAC
rnacentral:rRNA from 1 species